GACAGGCUUAACACAUGCAAGUCGAGGGGCAGCGGGGGUGAUGGCUUGCCAUCGCCUGCCGGCGACCGGCGCACGGGUGAGUAACACGUAUGCAACCUGCCCGCCACAGGGGGAUAAGCGGAAGAAAUUCCGUCUAAUACCGCGUGACGCGGCGCCGGGGCAUCCCGGUGCCGCCAAAGGGAUUACCGGUGGCGGAUGGGCAUGCGGCGCAUUAGCUAGUCGGCGGGGUAACGGCCCACCGAGGCGACGAUGCGUAGGGGUUCUGAGAGGAAGGUCCCCCACACUGGUACUGAGACACGGACCAGACUCCUACGGGAGGCAGCAGUGAGGAAUAUAGGUCAAUGGGCGCGAGCCUGAACCAGCCAAGUCGCGUGAGGGAUGACGGUCCUACGGAUUGUAAACCUCUUUUGCCGGGGAGCAAGCGUGCGUUCGUGAACGCGCGUCGAGAGUACCCGGAGAAAAAGCAUCGGCUAACUCCGUGCCAGCAGCCGCGGUAAUACGGAGGAUGCGAGCGUUAUCCGGAUUUAUUGGGUUUAAAGGGUGCGUAGGCGGGAUGCCAAGUCAGCGGUAAAAAUGCGGUGCUCAACGCCGUCGAGCCGUUGAAACUGGCGUUCUUGAGUGGGCGAGAAGUAUGCGGAAUGCGUGGUGUAGCGGUGAAAUGCAUAGAUAUCACGCAGAACUCCGAUUGCGAAGGCAGCAUACCGGCGCCCUACUGACGCUGAGGCACGAAAGCGUGGGUAUCGAACAGGAUUAGAUACCCUGGUAGUCCACGCAGUAAACGAUGAAUGCUAACUGUCCGGCUCGAAUGAGCGCUGGGCGGUACAGCGAAAGCGUUAAGCAUUCCACCUGGGGAGUACGCCGGCAACGGUGAAACUCAAAGGAAUUGACGGGGGCCCGCACAAGCGGAGGAACGUGUGGUUUAAUUCGAUGAUACGCGAGGAACCUUACCCGGGCUCAAACGCAGGAUGACGGGUCCCGAAAGGGGUCUUUCUUCGGACAUUCUGCGAGGUGCUGCAUGGUUGUCGUCAGCUCGUGCCGUGAGGUGUCGGCUUAAGUGCCAUAACGAGCGCAACCCCUGUCCACAGUUGCCAGCAGGUAAAGCUGGGGACUCUGUGGAGACUGCCGGCGCAAGCUGCGAGGAAGGCGGGGAUGACGUCAAAUCAGCACGGCCCUUACGUCCGGGGCGACACACGUGUUACAAUGGCAGGUACAGCGGGAUGCCACGGGGCGACCCGGCGCUGAACCCGAAAACCUGUCUCAGUUCGGAUUGGAGUCUGCAACCCGACUCCAUGAAGCUGGAUUCGCUAGUAAUCGCGCAUCAGCCACGGCGCGGUGGAUACGUUCCCGGGCCUUGUACACACCGCCCGUCAAGCCAUGGAAGCCGGGGGUACCUGAAGUGCGUGACCGCGAGGAGCGCCCUAGGGUAAAACC
rnacentral:rRNA from 1 species